UACGGGGGGGGCAAGCGUUGUUCGGAAUUACUGGGCGUAAAGGGCUCGUAGGCGGCCAACUAAGUCAGACGUGAAAUCCCUCGGCUUAACCGGGGAACUGCGUCUGAUACUGGAUGGCUUGAGUUUGGGAGAGGGAUGCGGAAUUCCAGGUGUAGCGGUGAAAUGCGUAGAUAUCUGGAGGAACACCGGUGGCGAAGGCGGCGAUCCUGGACCAACACUGACGCUGAGUGAGCGAAAGCCAGGGGAGCAAACGGG
rnacentral:rRNA from 1 species